rnacentral:rRNA from 1 species
GAUGAACGCUGGCGGCGUGCUUAACACAUGCAAGUCGAACGGAAAGGCCAGUGCUUGCACUGGUACUCGAGUGGCGAACGGGUGAGUAACACGUGGGUGAUCUGCCCUGCACUUCGGGAUAAGCCUGGGAAACUGGGUCUAAUACCGGAUAGGACAAUGGUUUGGAUGCCGUUGUGGAAAGUUUUUUCGGUGUGGGAUGAGCUCGCGGCCUAUCAGCCUGUUGGUGGGGUAAUGGCCUGCCAAGGCGUCGACGGGUAGCCGGCCUGAGAGGGUGUACGGCCACAUUGGGACUGAGAUACGGCCCAGACUCCUACGGGAGGCAGCAGUGGGGAAUAUUGCACAAUGGGCGCAAGCCUGAUGCAGCGACGCCGCGUGGGGGAUGACGGCCUUCGGGUUGUAAACUCCUUUCGCUAGGGACGAAGCGUAUUUGUGACGGUACCUGGAGAAGAGGCACCGGCUAACUACGUG